rnacentral:lncRNA from 1 species
AAGAACAGAAGAGGAAUGAAAGAAGAAGAGAAGGGAAGAUAAAAGAAAAGAAGAGAGAAAAGAGAGGAGGAAGAUCUAUCAGAGUGGAGAGUGGGAGAAAUGGAGGGUACUCCAAGGGAUGAAAAGAAGGUUUAGUACUGUGGGACAAGCCCAAAACAGGACGACCCCCAGCAGAGCCUCGUAGUAGUAAUAUGAAAGAGGGGGAGAGAGAAGGAUGAAGAGAUGGGAAAUGAUGGAAAUAGGGAGGCACUCCAAGGGAUGCAAAGAAGGUUUAGUACCGUGGGACAAGCCCAAAACAUGACGAAAGAAGAAGAUUCAAGGGAGAGAGAAUUUUAUUUAAGAGAGGAAAGGAGUUUGAAAGAGGAGAAGGUUCAAGGGAGAGAGAGUUUCAUUCAAGAGAAGGGAAAAGAAGAUUCAAGGGAGAGAGAGAGAUUCUUUUAAGAGGGAGAAGAGAAGAAGAUUCAAGAAAGAGAGAUUUAUUUAAGAGAGAGAAGAGAGUUUUUAAGAGAAAAAGAGGAUUUAAGGGAGAAAGGGUUUCAUUCAAGAGAGGAGCGUUUAAGAGAAAAAGAAGGUUUAAGAGAGAAGAGAGUUUAAGAGUGAAGGAGAGUAGAGAGUUUAAGGGAGAAGAAAAAGAGGAGAGAGUUCAAGGGAGAAGAAAGAGAGUAGAGAGUUUAAGAGCGUAAGAGAAUGAGAGAUUAGGGGGAGAAGAAAGCUGGGGCGGUAGCCUUGGUCACCCCCAUAGGGAGAUGAUAAAGAGGGGGAGGAGGUGAGAGACAGGGAGAUUCGGGGUGGCAGCUUGGGCCGCCCUUAGAGAACGAGAGAGAGAGAGAGAGAGAGA